GAUGAACGCUGGCGGCGUGCCUAAUACAUGCAAGUCGAGCGAACAGACGAGGAGCUUGCUCCUCUGACGUUAGCGGCGGACGGGUGAGUAACACGUGGAUAACCUACCUAUAAGACUGGGAUAACUUCGGGAAACCGGAGCUAAUACCGGAUAAUAUAUUGAACCGCAUGGUUCAAUAGUGAAAGACGGUUUUGCUGUCACUUAUAGAUGGAUCCGCGCCGCAUUAGCUAGUUGGUAAGGUAACGGCUUACCAAGGCAACGAUGCGUAGCCGACCUGAGAGGGUGAUCGGCCACACUGGAACUGAGACACGGUCCAGACUCCUACGGGAGGCAGCAGUAGGGAAUCUUCCGCAAAGGGCGGAAGCCUGACGGAGCAACGCCGCGUGAGUGAUGAAGGUCUUCGGAUCGUAAAACUCUGUUAUUAGGGAAGAACAAAUGUGUAAGUAACUAUGCACGUCUUGACGGUACCUAAUCAGAAAGCCACGGCUAACUACGUG
rnacentral:rRNA from 1 species